AACGCACCUUGCGCCUCUUGGUAUUCCGAGAGGCAUGCCUGUUUGAGUGUCAUUAAAUUCUCAACUUCAAUAGUUUUUUAUAACUUGUUGAAGCUUGGAUGUGGAGGUUUUUGCUGGCUUUCAUUAGUUGGCUCCUCUUAAAUGCAUUAGUGGAGACUGCUUGUGGUCCACAAUUAGUGUGAUAAUUAUCUACGCUACUUAUGGUUGCUGCACGCUUUUGUAGUGUUUCGACUGGGAAGCUGCAUGAAUAGUGCUCUUUCUGCUUCAAUGAACCUGCAAUUAGUGAAGUCAUUCUGCUUCUAACUGUCUUCUUGCAAGACAAUUUCUUGACUUUUUGACCUCAAAUCAGGUAGGACUACCCGCUGAACUUAA
rnacentral:misc_RNA from 1 species